GUCUGUUGAUAAAUUAUUUCAAUUAUUGAAAAAUAUCACAAAUAAUUGUUAUACAGUCGAAAACUUCAAAUUGGAGAAUAUUUAAGGUUGGUAUAACUAACUUCUAUUGAAUGGUUGGGUGUUUUUAUUUAAAUAUUCCUCUUUAAAUUUGUUUAACAUUUUCCUCUCAAUUGUUUCUUUUUAUUUUGGGUUCGAUUACUUAUUUGGAUUCAGUAGUUGGUCAUUUCAAAGACAUGCCAGCAUAAAUUUCUUGCUUUUUUUUUUUUAAAUAGAAUUGUUUAGCAAGAAUUGUUGAAUUUUAACAUUCUAAAGAAAGCAAAUUGCUAACCGGGUCUAUUCAUCCCAAUUCUCUGAGAGUUGGGAUUUCGACGGAUAUAAUUGAAUAAGGUGAUUUACCAGAAAUAAUAUUAUUCAGAAUUCAGUUGUAUUAUGCAAAAAUAACAUUCAGGCUAAGUAUUAAUUCUUUUGUUAGUGUUUUGCAAACAUUUGGUGAUUUGUUUAAUUUAUUUAAAGUUAUACAAAGUAAUUUAUCUAAUUAAAAAAAUUUCAUUCUCAGAUAAUAAUCGUUUUUAAUAUAUUCUGUGUCACUUUUACGUUCAUUACAAUAAAUCUAAAACUACUUUCUAGGCUUGGCAUGCUUGGAGGCGAUCCAAAUAAACUAUUCAAAUAAUAUAAGUAAUCAGAAAAUACCUUGAAUAUUUGAGACAUUAAUGGAAAUAGAAUUUUUAACUUGAUAAAACAUUCAGAAUUUAGAUACAAGAUGUUCAAGUUGGAAAUGCAAUGAUCAAUUAGAUGCUUGAAAUUUAAUUCGAAAAACUUAAAAGCUUUGUUUUUCUCUUCUUUUUUUUUAAUUAUGUGCUUGACAAUAUCUCUGAUAUAUAUUAUGAGUUAAUUUAAAAAGCAAGCAAAAAUUAAAUUUCACAAUAUUAACAAAAAUAAUAGUUUGUCAAGUUGCAUAUAUAUAGAGCUUUCAAACUAUCGAAUAAAUUAUUUUAAUCAAAAAAAUACUUCAUUAGAAGACAAAGCUAUGUAGCUUAUUCAAAAAUAUACAAUUAUCUGAAUUGGAACUAAAAAUACUCUAACAGGAAUAUUUUCAAAGCUCAAAACUGUUUAAGUUAACACAAUUCUCCAAUAGAAAAUUUCUAAAGUUAUUUUACAUUUAGAGUAUUGAAAAAUUGUACAAUUAAUCUGAAAGAGAAAUAAGGAGCCGUUUUUAACUAGAUUGACGAAUUGAGAUUAAUG
rnacentral:lncRNA from 1 species